rnacentral:lncRNA from 1 species
CUUCCAUGAGAUAAAUUUUUAUGCUUUAAAUGAUGUGAUGUGAUGUGAUGCGGCUUUAUAUGUAUUUUUCUGUGAUGAGAUAAAUUUUUCUGUGAUGAGACACAUUCUGUAUAUAAUUUGUUGUGGUGUAUAUGAUGUUCUGUGUAUUUCCUGUGUAUUUAUUGUGGUUUUAAUUAUUUUUUUAAAUACCGAAAAUGUAUCAGUGUCAUCAGUAACGGUCGGGGAGGAGCGACCGCCAUGAUCAGUAACCCCAUCAUCAGUAACACGAAAUUAGUAACGGCGGCCCCGACCGUUACCGAUAUGAUUUUUCGACCGUUACUGAUGACCGUUUUUAUAGCAGUGUGCCACCAUCAGUCCACCGUCAUUUAUGAUCUUACAGAAGUUCUGCACUUUCUUAUCAAGUCAAUGUUUCAAUCACAGAGCAAUCUUUCUCUUUUUUGUUUGGUCUUAACGGUGUGGAGGUCGUUGCGUGCUUUCUUUUUAUUUUAUUUUUGUGGGGAUGUCGCUGCGUGUCUCUGCCGCUUGCGCCAUGUGGCCCUUUCGCUUGUUUAGGACUAGUUGUCGCUUCGCGUCCUCUGUCCUGAUAGUUUCGGUGGGCCCACCUCUGCCUGGGUUUGCGCCUUGUCCUUAUCGGUGGUGGGGGUGCUGGUAUCCAUGCUCAGCACUCAACAGUUGGC